rnacentral:rRNA from 1 species
UACGAAGGGGGCUAGCGUUGUUCGGAUUUACUGGGCGUAAAGCGCACGUAGGCGGAUCUUUAAGUCAGAGGUGAAAUCCCAAGGCUCAACCUUGGAACUGCCUUUGAUACUGGCGAUCUUGAGUCCGGGAGAGGUGAGUGGAACUGCGAGUGUAGAGGUGAAAUUCGUAGAUAUUCGCAAGAACACCAGUGGCGAAGGCGGCUCACUGGCCCGGUACUGACGCUGAGGUGCGAAAGCGUGGGGAGCAAACAGG